GGACACAAGUGCCCUUCAGCAGUUGAAUUCUGCUCGCUGGUGGGGAAGAGCAGAGUGGACAUCAGUUGGUGACCUGAAGGAAGUGGGUCAGAAGUGGAAGUUCAGGUGCUGGUGGCUGUCUCCAUUGAUAGAAUGGUGCACAAAGGUGAUCAAGUGGAGGCCAAUGAGACUCAAGACAUCUGGUCCCCGUAAAUCUGCAUACAAAAAUGCUAAGAAUGAAGUCAUCAUCCAGGCACUACAAAGACAUGGAUACUUCCUGUUAGACAAGGAGCUGACAAGUCCUCCUGGGACCAUAUCUGGGAGCAGACGGUCAAUGAUAGUAAUGCAGUUGGAAGACAUGGCUGGGAUAAUGAAAAACUAAGACAUCAUGCUAAUGAUAUGAUUAUGAACACCAAGCAGAGGGCAGCUGUAAUUGCCCAGGAAAGGAUGCCUUCUGGUGGUGGCCUACUACUGGACCACCAGUAAUUUCCUGUCCAUUUCCACAGAUCCAGACAGCUCAUCAGGAGGUUCACAAAGAUUCAGUGAUGUUGGUGCUGAGAUGGAGGACAACCAAAUUAUGCCUAUUGAUGAACUUCCAGAUAUGCCAUAUAAGAAAUCAUUAGUCUUAAAUUUAUAUAAUAUACAUAGAGAAGGAGAGUGUACAAGUGCACAUGAGAGAGAGAGGGGGUGGGGAGAAGAGAGAGAGAUUAGUGGAUAAGGAUAUGGGAGACAGGAUUUUUGUAUGAGUUGCUUCUUAUUAACCAGAUGGAAAGUGGAUUUUUUUGUUUAUUGUGUUGCUUGCAUUGUGAUACUUAUCAUCCAUCUUUAAUAACCAUUCCUUCUGUCUAGUUGCAUCCUGUACUGAUUUUGCAUGAUCAUCUGCACAUUGUAAUCAUAUAUUUGUUCCUUAUUACAGUACAUAAGUAAAUUUAUGUGUACAUUAAAGUCCUUUUUAAAUUGCA